GUAUUGUGUGGAAGGAGAGAACGUUAGCACUGUCCUCGAUAAGGAUGGAAGGGACCCCAAUGGUGUUAGUAAACACAAAUGGUUAAAGGGUUGCUUUGCCAAUGACUUAGUGGAAUCUAACCAUGUUUAGAU